AAGGCUAAAUACUCCUGACUGACCGAUAGUGAACCAGUACCGUGAGGGAAAGGCGAAAAGAACCCCGGCGAGGGGAGUGAAAAAGAACCUGAAACCGUGUACGUACAAGCAGUGGGAGCACGCUUAGGCGUGUGACUGCGUACCUUUUGUAUAAUGGGUCAGCGACUUAUAUUCUGUAGCAAGGUUAACCGAAUAGGGGAGCCGAAGGGAAACCGAGUCUUAACUGGGCGUUAAGUUGCAGGGUAUAGACCCGAAACCCGGUGAUCUAGCCAUGGGCAGGUUGAAGGUUGGGUAACACUAACUGGAGGACCGAACCGACUAAUGUUGAAAAAUUAGCGGAUGACUUGUGGCUGGGGGUGAAAGGCCAAUCAAACCGGGAGAUAGCUGGUUCUCCCCGAAAGCUAUUUAGGUAGCGCCUCGUGAAUUCAUCUCCGGGGGUAGAGCACUGUUUCGGCAAGGGGGUCAUCCCGACUUACCAACCCGAUGCAAACUGCGAAUACCGGAGAAUGUUAUCACGGGAGACACACGGCGGGUGCUAACGUCCGUCGUGAAGAGGGAAACAACCCAGACCGCCAGCUAAGGUCCCAAAGUCAUGGUUAAGUGGGAAACGAUGUGGGAAGGCCCAGACAGCCAGGAUGUUGGCUUAGAAGCAGCCAUCAUUUAAAGAAAGCGUAAUAGCUCACUGGUCGAGUCGGCCUGCGCGGAAGAUGUAACGGGGCUAAACCAUGCACCGAAGCUGCGGCAGCGACGCUGAUGCGUUGUUGGGUAGGGGAGCGUUCUGUAAGCCUGCGAAGGUGUGCUGUGAGGCAUGCUGGAGGUAUCAGAAGUGCGAAUGCUGACAUAAGUAACGAUAAAGCGGGUGAAAAGCCCGCUCGCCGGAAGACCAAGGGUUCCUGUCCAACGUUAAUCGGGGCAGGGUGAGUCGACCCCUAAGGCGAGGCCGAAAGGCGUAGUCGAUGGGAAACAGGUUAAUAUUCCUGUACUUGGUGUUACUGCGAAGGGGGGACGGAGAAGGCUAUGUUGGCCGGGCGACGGUUGUCCCGGUUUAAGCGUGUAGGCUGGUUUUCCAGGCAAAUCCGGAAAAUCAAGGCUGAGGCGUGAUGACGAGGCACU
rnacentral:rRNA from 1 species